rnacentral:ncRNA from 1 species
GUCCCUCUACGGGGAUAGGAUGAAAAGGGAAUCGGGUGCAAAUCCCGGACAGUCCCGCUGCUGUGAGUUUUAUUCACUCUUGAGAGGAGCAAUCCUCUACAAUAAAAAAGGGUGGGCGCACAUCAAUCUCUUAGCCACUGUCAAACUAUUGACGGGAAGGCGAUGGCGCUGAAACGAGUCAGAAGACCUGCAAA